rnacentral:rRNA from 2 species
UGCAUAUCCCAAAAGCGGAGGAAAAGAAACUAACAAGGAUUCCCCUAGUAACUGCGAGUGAAGCGGGAAAAGCUCAAAUUUAAAAUCUGGUGGUCUUUGGCCAUCCGAGUUGUAAUCUAGAGAAGUGUUAUCCGCGCUGGACCGUGUACAAGUCCCCUGGAAUGGGGCGUCAUAGAGGGUGAGAAUCCCGUCUUUGACACGGACUACCAGGGCUUUGUGAUGCACUCUCAAAGAGUCGAGUUGUUUGGGAAUGCAGCUCAAAAUGGGUGGUAAAUUCCAUCUAAAGCUAAAUAUUGGCGAGAGACCGAUAGCGAACAAGUACCGUGAGGGAAAGAUGAAAAGAACUUUGGAAAGAGAGUUAAACAGUACGUGAAAUUGUUGAAAGGGAAACGCUUGAAGUCAGUCGCGUCUGCCRGGGAUCAACCUUACUUUUGUGAGGCGUACUUCCUGGUUGAUGGGUCAGCAUCAGUUUUGGUCGCUGGAUAAAGGUCAGAGAAAUGUGGCACCUUCGGGUGUGUUAUAGUCUUUGAUCAGAUACAGUGGCUGGGACUGAGGAACUCAGCGCCGCAAGGCUGUCUUAGGAUGCUGGCAAAAUGGCUUUAAUCGACCCGUCUUGAAACACGGACAAAAGGAGUCA